CCUACGGUGUGCUGCAGUGGGGAAUAUUGGACAAUGGGCGAAAGCCUGAUCCAGCCAUGCCGCGUGUGUGAAGAAGGCCUUCGGGUUGUAAAGCACUUCCAGUGGGGAAGAAAGCCUUGGGGCUAAUACCCUCGAGGAAGGACAUCACCCACAGAAGAAGCACCGGCUAACUCCGUGCCAGCAGCCGCGGUAAUACGGAGGGUUCGAGCGUUAAUCGGAAUUACUGGGCGUAAAGCGCGCGUAGGCGGUCUGAUAAGCCGGUUGUGAAAGCCCCGGGCUCAACCUGGGAACGGCAUCCGGAACUGUCAGGCUAGAGUGCAGGAGAGGAAGGUAGAAUUCCCGGUGUAGCGGUGAAAUGCGUAGAGAUCGGGAGGAAUACCAGUGGCGAAGGCGGCCUUCUGGACUGACACUGACGCUGAGGUGCGAAAGCGUGGGUAGCAAACAGGAUUAGAUACCCUUGUAGUC
rnacentral:rRNA from 1 species